UACGAUACAUCUUCUCUUGAC
rnacentral:piRNA from 1 species